rnacentral:misc_RNA from 1 species
UAUCGGAAGGUGCGGCUGGAUCACCUCCUUUUGAGUAUGGUGAAUAUAAUUGUCUUACCAGGCGUCCUCACAAGUUACUUGCAUUCAGGGUUUGAUGUUGGCAUAGGUUUGGGUUUAUGUUGGCGAUUUUUGUUCUGGGGGCCUUAGCUCAGCUGGUAGAGCACCUGCUUUGCAAGCAGGGGGUCGUCGGUUCGAUCCCGACAGGCUCCACCAUGAAAGUAUUUAUGGGUCUGUAGCUCAGGUGGUUAGAGCGCACCCCUGAUAAGGGUGAGGUCGGUGGUUCGAGUCCUCCCAGACCCACCAAUGUUAUAUCAAUUAUUCUGAAUGUAGUUUGGGCAUUUUUAUGCUUAUCAGCCUUGGAGCUGUGAAGCGUUCUUUUAUAAUUUGAUGAUGUAGCAAGCGUUUGAAAUUUUUAUUAAAAAUUUCUCAUUUGAAGCCUUAAGUGACAAUGUUUAUCCAUUGUCUUGUAGAUUUUGAGGCGACUUGGGGUUAUAUGGUCAAGCGAAUAAGCG